AUUGAACGCUGGCGGCAGGCCUAACACAUGCAAGUCGAACGAGUGGCGGACGGGUGAGUAAUGCUUGGGAAUCUAGCCGAUGGAGGGGGAUAACUACGGGAAACUGUAGCUAAUACCGCAUACCAUCGGAUGAGCCCAAGUGGGAUUAGGUAGUGGGUGGGGUAAAGGCUCACCAAGCCGACGAUCCCUAGCUGGUCUGAGAGGAUGACCGGCCACACUGGAACUGAGCAACGGUCCAGACUCCUACGGGAGGCAGCAGUGGGGAAUAUUGCACAAUGGGCGCAAGCCUGAUGCAGCCAUGCCGCGUGGAUGAAGAAGGCCUUAGGGUUGUAAAGUACUUUCAGCGGGGAGGCGUUACUCGCAGAAGAAGCACCGGCUAACUCCGUGCCAGCAGCCGCGGUAAUAC
rnacentral:rRNA from 1 species